UGGGGAAUAUUGGACAAUGGGCGCAAGCCUGAUCCAGCCAUGCCGCGUGAGUGAUGAAGGCCCUAGGGUUGUAAAGCUCUUUCACCGGUGAAGAUAAUGACGGUAACCGGAGAAGAAGCCCCGGCUAACUUCGUGCCAGCAGCCGCGGUAAUACGAAGGGGGCUAGCGUUGUUCGGAUUUACUGGGCGUAAAGCGCACGUAGGCGGACUUUUAAGUCAGGGGUGAAAUCCCGGGGCUCAACCCCGGAACUGCCUUUGAUACUGGAAGUCUUGAGUAUGGGAGAGGUGAGUGGAAUUCCGAGUGUAGAGGUGAAAUUCGUAGAUAUUCGGGGGAACACCAGUGGCGAAGGCGGCUCACUGGACCAUUACUGACGCUGAGGUGCGAAAGCGUGGGGAGCAAACAGG
rnacentral:rRNA from 1 species